UACGGAGGGUGCAAGCGUUGUUCGGAUUUACUGGGCGUAAAGGGCGCGUAGGCGGCGUGGUAAGUCACUUGUGAAAUCUCCGAGCUUAACUCGGAACUGCCAAGUGAUACUGCUGUGCUAGAGUGCAGAAGGGGCAACCGGAAUUCUUGGUGUAGCGGUGAAAUGCGUAGAUAUCAAGAGGAACACCUGAGGUGAAGACGGGUUGCUGGGCUGACACUGACGCUGAGGCGCGAAAGCUAGGGUAGCAAACGGG
rnacentral:rRNA from 1 species